rnacentral:lncRNA from 1 species
GCUAUGUUCUAUUUGUAGGAGUAAAAUAAGGAUUAGGCUGUGGAGAGAUGGUGAGUGGUUGAUAGCUCCGGUCUUGAAAACCGGUAUAGUUCUAGGAACUAUCGAGGGUUCGAAUCCCUCUCUCUCCUUUUGCUUAUUGAAUACGUUUGUUUCUUUCAUUAUUAUUUUCCGUCCCUUAUCUUUUUUUCAUAAAAAGGAAUGAAUGCCUCGACUAGAUGGAAUAACCGAGCCAGAACAGAAAAAAAGUAAAACAAGUAUAAAUAAGAAAAUCUUAGUUAAGAGGGUUCAUGUAAAGAACAGGUUCCAAAUCACGAUCGAUUCCCUUUUCAAAACCUGCUGCAGCAGCUCGGGCUCUUCCUGCAUGCCAUAAAUGGCCCACAAAAAAGAAGAAUCCUAGAACAAAAUGAGAAGUUGAUAACCAACUUGGGAGAGACACAAUUAACUGCAUUGAUCUCGGUAGCUACGCCACCCACGGAAUUUAAAGAGCCUAAAGGAUUCGUGAUGGCAGUAUUGCCAACAUUGACCUCAUCGAGUCCACCAAGAUUAAUAAGCCUGGGAUCAAGGAUGCAGGUCCC